GACGAACGCUGGCGGCGUGCCUAAUACAUGCAAGUUGAGCGCUGAAGGUUGGUACUUGUACCGACUGGAUGAGCAGCGAACGGGUGAGUAACGCGUGGGGAAUCUGCCUUUGAGCGGGGGACAACAUUUGGAAACGAAUGCUAAUACCGCAUAAAAACUUUAAACACAAGUUUUAAGUUUGAAAGAUGCAAUUGCAUCACUCAAAGAUGAUCCCGCGUUGUAUUAGCUAGUUGGUGAGGUAAAGGCUCACCAAGGCGAUGAUACAUAGCCGACCUGAGAGGGUGAUCGGCACCAUUGGACCUGAGACACGGCCCAAACCCCUACGGGAGGCAGCAGUAGGAAAUCUUCGGCAAUGGACGAAAGUCUGACCGGGCAACGCCGCGUGAGUGAAGAGGGUUUUCGGAUCGUAAAACUCUGUUGGUAGAGAAGAACGUUGGUGAGAGUGGAAAGCUCAUCAAGUGACGGUAACUACCCAGAAAGGGACGGCUAACUACG
rnacentral:rRNA from 1 species